AAAUAAAGGAGAAAAUUGGUAAAAACUUAAAGCUUGAUGCAAACAUUCUUCAUCAUCCACUCCAAACUCCAGUGGUUGAUGACAUUUUUAAGAGUCCAAUGAGCCUGUUGAUGACUACAACCCUUUGGUAAUCUUCUUUUGUGUCCUAUUGCAACCCUUUGACAAUUAUGCUACUGCUACCCAUUCACCUAAAAAAACAAGCCAAAAAUGAAGAUACCAAUCACUAGCUUUUAAAUUGCUCUAUUACUUAAUGAAAACUAGCACUUUUAUUAUUAGACUUAUUCCUGACAACUAAGCCUGGGAGUGGCCUUCUGAUUAAUCCUCCCACUUCUGAAGCAAAUGCACUCAAAGAAUGGUACGUAUGUUCUUUCAUCAUUUAAGUUAAACUUUUCUAGAUCCUUUUGAUAAAUUAUAGUCUGUUGCAUUAAUUUUUUGGAUAGGUAUAAUGCAAAUAAAGAAGAAAUUGCAGAGUUGAUACAACAAAUGGCAUACAAAGAUUCAUCUAAGUUGUUGCCACCUCCAAGUGCUAAUGACAUGAUUAGUGUAGCCAAUGCACUUAACACACUCAAAGAUGUGAAAACAACUUGGAUAAUAAGAAAAAUCAGUUUGACCCCUGGGCAAUAAAAAUUCUGGUUUGAAGCAUGUGAGAACUGCCAAAAGGCUAUCAAUGUUGACGUAUGAUGGGUUAUGAGAUGCUCAUCUUGCAAAGAAGAGAGCAAAGUUGUAGCAAGGACCCGAAUUGGGAUUACUAUGGAUGAUAGUACGGGCUCCAUAAACACUAUUAUCUUUGACCUUGAUGCUGAAAAGCUUAUCCCAUUUACAGUGCUUCAAUUUUGGGAAGCUCAUAAUGAGUGAGUAGAACGAAAAUAUCAUAACAAGUGCCAAUUUGACAAUCGUUAGAAAGGAGUUCAAUUAGCAAGUGUCCAGGGGUAUUUUUGGAAUAUCAAGACGCGACCCAUUUUGGUAAUUUGCGAAAGACAGCACUGGAAAAAAGGAACAAAAGACCGAAGUCUUCCUUACCGUUGGGGGGCGCCGCACAAUAACUAGGCAUUAGAGUAGAAGCAUCAAAUAGGAAAUAGGAAUAGCAGGGAACUAGCACUAAUGGAGAUUUAGCUUUUGACUUUUCUUCGCAUAGGCUCUUGGUAGCUUUAUUCACUUGUAUGUCAAGACCAAUUGAAACAUUGAAUGAUUCUCUGUGACUUCGCUUUUCGUCAACAUUCGAUGAGUUGAAUUUGCCAAAUUCCCAAGACAAUG